UAUUCGGUCGGUCGGCCUUUCAUGAAUCGAUCUUUACCAUUCGCUGGCGGAUCAGGUGGCAGCGUCUUUCCCGGGCGGAACAUCUCCGCCCAGGCGGACAGUCCCGCCAUUGCAUUUUCGGCCAUUUGUAGAGAGUCCGUCCGAUGAUGAAACAGCUUGUUCUUGCCGCCGCGCUCUUCGGCGUAUGCUCCACCGCCGCCAUUGCCGAGGACCGCUACGCCACCCGACCA
rnacentral:sRNA from 2 species